rnacentral:rRNA from 1 species
AGUGGAUGGGGAGCAACCUAGUUGUGCGUGUGUAAAGGUAGUGCCAAGAAAAGCGAUGAUCAUGUUGAAAAUCAAUUCCCGGUACCCGAAACCGACACAGAUGGGCAAGUAGAGAAUACUAAGGGGCGCGAGGUAACUCUCUCCAAGGAACUCGGCAAAAUGACCCCGUAACUUAGGGAGAAGGGGUGCCACCGAGAGGUGGUCGCAGUGAAGAGGCCCAGGCGACUGUUUAGCAAAAACAUAGGUCUCUGCAAACUCGAAAGAGGAGGUAUAGGGGCUGACGCCUGCCCAGUGCCGGAAGGUUAAAGAAGUUGGUCAGUUUUAGGAUGAAGCUAGCGACUGAAGCCCCGGUGAACGGCGGCCGUAACUAUAACGGUCCUAAGGUAGCGAAAUUCCUUGUCGGGUAAGUUCCGACCCGCACGAAAGGCGUAACGAUCUGGGCGCUGUCUCGGAGAGAGGCUCGGCGAAAUAGGAUUGUCUGUGAAGAUACGGACUACCUGCAUUUGGACAGAAAGACCCUAUGAAGCUUUACUAUAGCUUGGAAUUGUGUUCGGGCUUCCUGUGCGCAGGAUAGGUGGGAGGCGUAGAAGGUAUUCUUGUGGGGAUACUGGAGCCAACGGUGAGAUACCACUCUCAGGAGGCUAGAAUUCUAACUUAAUUAAGGACAGUUUCAGGUGGGUAGUUUGACUGGGGCGGUCGCCUCCAAAAAGGUAACGGAGGCGUACAAAGGUUCCCUCAGACUGGUUGGAAAUCAGUCGAAGAGUGCAAAGGCAGAAGGGAGCUUGACUGCGAGAAGUACAGUUCGAGCAGGGUGGAAACACGGUCUUAGUGAUCCGACGGUGCUGUGUGGAAGGGCCGUCGCUCAACGGAUAAAAGUUACUCUAGGAUAACAGGCUGAUCUCCCCCAAGAGUUCACAUCGACGGGGAGGUUUGGCACCUCGAUGUCGGCUCAUCGCAACCUGGGGCGGAAGUACGUCCCAAGGGUUGGGCUGUUCGCCCAUUAAAGCGGUACGUGAGCUGGGUUCAGAACGUCGUGAGACAGUUCGGUCCAUAUCCGAUGUAGGCGUGAGAAUAUUGAGAGGAGCCUUCCUUAGUACGAGAGGACCGGGAAGGACGCACCGCUGGUGUACCUGUUAUGAUGCCAAUUGUAAACGCAGGGUAGCCAAGUGCGGAGAGGAUAACCGCUGAAAGCAUCUAAGUGGGAAGCCCACCUCAAGAUGAGUAUUCUGGUGUAAGGUCACGGGAAGACGACCCGUAAAUAGGCACGAGGUGGAAGUGCAGAGAUGUAUGAAGCCGAAGUGUACUAAUAGACCGUCGGCUUGAUC